rnacentral:lncRNA from 1 species
CCUGUCCAUAACGAGCUUGCAGUCAAGAGGUGAUAAUAAUUCUGGUAUUUGUUAAGUGCUUACUAUGUGCCAGGCGCUGUCCUGAGCGCUAGGGUGGAUACAAGCAAAUCAGGUUGGACGCAGACCCUGCCCCCAUGUGGGGCUCACAGUCUCAAUCCCCAUUUCACAGAUAAGGUAACUGAAGUCCAGAGAAGCGAAGUGACUUGCCCAAGGUCACCCGGCAGACAAGUGGCAGAGCAGGGAUUAGAACCCAAGACCUUCUGACUCUCAAGCCCUUGUUCUAUCCACUCUGCCGUGCUGCUUCUCUGUACAAUUCAGCAGGGUUGGUAGACUCAGAGCGCGGCUCAGUGGAAAGAGGCCGGGCUUAGGAGUCAGAGGUCGUGGGUUCUAAUCCCGGCUCCGCCACCUGUCAGCUGUGUGUGACUUUGGGCAAGUCGCCUGCCUUCUCGGUGCCUCAGUUCCCUCAUCUGUAAAGUGGGGAUUAAGACUGUGAGCCCCACGUGGGACAACCUGAUGACCCUGUAACUUACCCCAGCGCUUAGAACAGUGCUCGGCACAUACUAAGCGCUUAACAAAACCCAACAUUAUCAUCAUCCCCUGUCCGCAGUGAACUUACAGUCUAGAUGGGGGUGAAAAGACAACGGGGUUGAGCCCGUGAGGAUUAAAAUGAGAGUUCUUGGAAAGAAUUAAAGCUCUGGAGAAAUUCACAACGUGAUAGCAGUCACCAGUCCAACGUUCUUCAUGCUCUUCCACCUGGAAGAAGAAGAAGAAGAAGAAGAAGAGGGAGGAGGAGGAGGAGGAAUAAUAAUAAUGUGAUAAUCGUAUCAAGUGCCGGGGUCAAGUCAAGACAACCAGUUCGAACACCUUCUCUGUCCUACGUGGGGCUCACGGUCUAAAGGCGAUAACUACCUCAUCCCCCGUUUCAGAGAUGAGAAACUGAAGCCCAGAGAUGUCAAGCGACUUGCCCAAGGUAGCACGGCGGACGGCUGGCGGAGCCGGGAUUAGAACUCGGGUCCCCCGACCUCCGGCGCCAUGGUCGUGCUGUGACUCAAUCAGACUGCUGGAGAGAGGACGGAUUGAUUCCCCCGAAGACGUGUGAGGCGCUGAUCUGGGGUGAUUAUCCGUCCCCUCCCAUCGCGGUGUCGCCGAGGAGAAAGAUGUUCUGACCUUUCCAGUGGACACAGUGACGUCCGGGAAGCGGGGGGGGGGGGGCUCAGCGUGAUCGAUCACGGAACUGGGAGUCAGAGGACCCAGAUUCUCCUCCGGGCUCGGUCACGCGCCUGCUGUGUGACCUCAGGCAAGUCAUUUUACUUCUCUGUGCCUCGGUCGCCUCAUAAAGUCAUUUCACUUCUCCAUGCCUCUGAUCCUUCAAUAAAUGGGACUGAAUGAAGCAUUCCGUCCUUGGUUCAAUUGUGUUUAUUGAGCUCUCGGUGUGAUGAUGAUCAUGGCAUUUGUUAAGCGCUUCGUAUGCGCCGA